CGAAAUGAACAAUUUCACGACCAUCGUUGUUAUUGCAUCUCGAUCAGGAACUCCUCCGAUGGCGGCCGAGAAUUUACAGAAUUUAGAUGGACGGGUGAAGUCACCUUCAAAUAAUCAGCUACAAGCUUCAACACAAACAUUACAGGCUUGUGGAUCCAUCUCGGUUAGAUUUUCUGGAAGGAAUAUGUUUUCUCCAGUUAUCUUCUGCACCAUUUGGAGAGAAAUACUUGAACCUUAGCUAAUUUCCUCUUAGCUCUCCAGAUUCAACAUCCUUGCAUUAUGCAGGUUCGUUGGAAUUGAGACUUCUACACUGGAUUUUGAGUAAAAUGGGAUUGUGGGGGAAAGUGACAAGGGAUUAAUUUCAACUGGGACAAAAUCUUCGGUGUCAUAGCGCAACGGUGGAGAUGCUUCAAAUCAAUUCCGAAUACUGUAAGUAUACUUCCAUAUAGCACUGUAAGUAUCAGAAUCUCUAUUCACAAUUUACUCCGUAGAUCUCAGAGCUGCUCAUCUCUUUUUAUGUAAUGGGUGUCUGUACGUUGAUCUAUUUUUAGGUAACAAAGCGUCAGUUUGUGAGUUGACAUGUUUGUUAAUAUGCAUUCUAACCAAUAUGCGACAACUACAUUUUCCUCA